AUUGAACGCUGGCGGCAGGCCUAACACAUGCAAGUCGAGCGGAUGAAGGGAGCUUGCUCCUGGAUUCAGCGGCGGACGGGUGAGUAAUGCCUAGGAAUCUGCCUGGUAGUGGGGGAUAACGUCCGGAAACGGGCGCUAAUACCGCAUACGUCCUGAGGGAGAAAGUGGGGGAUCUUCGGACCUCACGCUAUCAGAUGAGCCUAGGUCGGAUUAGCUAGUUGGUGGGGUAAAGGCCUACCAAGGCGACGAUCCGUAACUGGUCUGAGAGGAUGAUCAGUCACACUGGAACUGAGACACGGUCCAGACUCCUACGGGAGGCAGCAGUGGGGAAUAUUGGACAAUGGGCGAAAGCCUGAUCCAGCCAUGACGCGUGUGUGAAGAAGGUCUUCGGAUUGUAAAGCACUUUAAGUUGGGAGGAAGGGCAGUAAGUUAAUACCUUGCUGUUUUGACGUUAACAACAGAAUAAGCACCGGCUAACUUCGUG
rnacentral:rRNA from 1 species